CUCCGUGCGCCCGCGCUUCCCGCACCGCUGGGGGAACGUUACCGGGGCGGGCUCCCGGGGAGCGCGGGGCCAGGCAGGCAGCGUGCGCUCCGGGACGGCGGCUAUUUUUGUUAUUAAUUAAGGAGUAACGACGGUGACAGCUGUGUAAACUGUAAAGCGCGGCUGCGGACCGAGCGGCUGUUGCGCGCGCCGCCCCCGCCCCGGCUACUCCCUCCGGAUCAGCAAACUUGCGCCUCGUUCCAGGCUACGUAAGAGAGCCAGCAUCAAAGAACGAAAGGAGAGCAAGGAGGAAAGUUGUCAUGACCCUGCAAAAUCAAUCCAGAUGUAUCACAAAUUUAUUCAAAACGAAUGCUGUAGGAACCCUACGCCCCACCAUGGAGCAGGACUGGA